rnacentral:rRNA from 1 species
UACGAAGGGGGCUAGCGUUGCACGGAAUCACUGGGCGUAAAGCGCACGUAGGCGGCUUGUUAAGUCAGGGGUGAAAUCCUGGAGCUCAACUCCAGAACUGCCUUUGAUACUGGCGAGCUUGAGUUCGGGAGAGGUGAGUGGAACUGCGAGUGUAGAGGUGAAAUUCGUAGAUAUUCGCAAGAACACCAGUGGCGAAGGCGGCUCACUGGCCCGAUACUGACGCUGAGGUGCGAAAGCGUGGGGAGCAAACAGG